rnacentral:rRNA from 1 species
UACGAAGGGGGCUAGCGUUGUUCGUAUUUACUGGGCGUAAGGCGCAUGUAGGCGGGUCGUUAAGGUGGAGGUGAAAUCCCGAGGCUCAACCUCGGAACUGCCUUCAAAACUGGCGACCUGGAGCAAGAUAGAGGCAAGUGGAAUUGCGAGUGUAGAGGUGAAAUUCGUAGAUAUUCGCAGGAACACCAGUGGCGAAGGCGACUUGCUGGAUCUUUGCUGACGCUGAGAUGCGAAAGCGUGGGGAGCAAACAGG